rnacentral:lncRNA from 1 species
GUCGUGCUCGCGGCCACCACAAGGAGGGCUCGGGGGCGGCCCCUGUCUGAGCCUCAGUUUCCACACCUGUGAACGGGAGCGGUGCCCGGCGGAGGGAGGCGGGCCGUGAGCCCAAGAGGAAGAGGUCUUCGUAAGGACGUGACCGUGCCGCGAUCCUCACCGCCGGCAGGGGAGACGGGUCCGUGUCUCCGAGCUGCAUGUGGAAGGGGGCCGGGCACCUCUCUAUGCUGUGUCGUGGAUGGCCUGCAAAACGCUCCCCCCACCGACGCGGAAGACGAGCAAGAAACAGGCACAGGCGGCCGCGGGCAGGGGGCUCAGAACAGCCCAAGACGCACCCCCCAAAGCUGCCCCCAUCUCUCCCCCACCCAGACCCACC